AUUGAACGCUGGCGGCAGGCCUAACACAUGCAAGUCGAACGGUAACAGGAAGAAGCUUGCUUCUUUGCUGACGCGUGGCGGACGUGUGAGAAAUGUCUGAGAAACUGCCUGAUGGCGGGGGAUAACUCCUGGAAACGGUAGCUAAUACCGCAUAACGUCGCAAGACCAAAGAGGGGGACCUUCGGGCCUCUUGCCAUCGGAUGUGCCCAGAUGGGAUUAGCUAGUAGGUGGGGUAACGGCUCACCUAGGCGACGAUCCCUAGCUGGUCUGAGAGGAUGACCAGCCACACUGGAACUGAGACACGGUCCAGACUCCUACGGGAGGCAGCAGUGGGGAAUAUUGCACAAUGGGCGCAAGCCUGAUGCAGCCAUGCCGCGUGUGUGAAGAAGGCCUUCGGGUUGUAAAGUACUUUCAGCGGGGAAGAAGGGAGUAAAGUUAAUACCUUUACUCAUUGACGUUACCCGCAGAAGAAGCACCGGCUAACUCCGUG
rnacentral:rRNA from 1 species